rnacentral:rRNA from 1 species
CCUACGGGAGGCAGCAGUGGGGAAUAUUGGACAAUGGGGGGAACCCUGAUCCAGCGACGCCGCGUGAGUGAAGAAGUAUUUCGGUAUGUAAAGCUCUAUCAGCAGGGAAGACAAUGACGGUACCUGACUAAGAAGCCCCGGCUAACUACGUGCCAGCAGCCGCGGUAAUACGUAGGGGGCAAGCGUUAUCCGGAUUUACUGGGUGGAAAGGGAGCGCAGACGGCUAAACAAGUCUGAAGUGAAAGGCGUGGGCUCAACUCAUGGACUGCUUUGGAAACUGUGUAGCUUGAGUAUCGGAGGGGUAAGCGGAAUUCCUAGUGUAGCGGUGAAAUGCGUAGAUAUUAGGAGGAACACCGGAGGCGAAGGCGGCUUACUGGACGAUAACUGACGUUGAGGCUCGAAGGCGUGGGGAGCAAACAGGAUUAGAUACCCCAGUAGUC